GAUGAACGCUAGCUACAGGCUUAACACAUGCAAGUCGAGGGGAAACGACAUCGAAAGCUUGCUUUUGAUGGGCGUCGACCGGCGCACGGGUGAGUAACGCGUAUCCAACCUGCCCACCACUUGGGGAUAACCUUGCGAAAGUAAGACUAAUACCCAAUGACGUCUCUAGAGGACAUCUGAAAGAGAUUAAAGAUUUAUCGGUGAUGGAUGGGGAUGCGUCUGAUUAGCUUGUUGGCGGGGUAACGGCCCACCAAGGCUACGAUCAGUAGGGGUUCUGAGAGGAAGGUCCCCCACAUUGGAACUGAGACACGGUCCAAACUCCUACGGGAGGCAGCAGUGAGGAAUAUUGGUCAAUGGACGAGAGUCUGAACCAGCCAAGUAGCGUGCAGGAUGACGGCCCUAUGGGUUGUAAACUGCUUUUAUAAGGGAAUAAAGUGAGUCUCGUGAGGCUUUUUGCAUGUACCUUAUGAAUAAGGACCGGCUAAUUCCGUGCCAGCAGCCGCGGUAAUACGGAAGGUCCGGGCGUUAUCCGGAUUUAUUGGGUUUAAAGGGAGCGUAGGCCGGAGAUUAAGCGUGUUGUGAAAUGUAGAUGCUCAACAUCUGCACUGCAGCGCGAACUGGUUUCCUUGAGUACGCACAAAGUGGGCGGAAUUCGUGGUGUAGCGGUGAAAUGCUUAGAUAUCACGAAGAACUCCGAUUGCGAAGGCAGCUCACUGGAGCGCAACUGACGCUGAAGCUCGAAAGUGCGGGUAUCGAACAGGAUUAGAUACCCUGGUAGUCCGCACAGUAAACGAUGAAUACUCGCGGUUUGCGAUACAGUGUAAGCCGCCAAGCGAAAGCGUUAAGUAUUCCACCUGGGGAGUACGCCGGCAACGGUGAAACUCAAAGGAAUUGACGGAAGGG
rnacentral:rRNA from 1 species